CCUCCUCUCGCUGGCGAUCACGUGUCUGCGAGCUCUUCGCUCCCGCCCCGAAGCCGCCUCGGCUGCUGCUUCUUAUUCAUUCGUCGGCGCGUCUUAGCGACGGCAGCGCACAAUUUCGGGCUACUGCUGCCGCCGCCGGUCUCGUUGCGGGAAACGGCGCCCAGUUUUCAACAAACAUUUGAAGUUUUGACUGAUCCGCUUUGGGUUGUUGCCUGCUAAAUCCUAUCAACGAGGUUGUGUGUACAAAACAAGCUCCCUUUACUCCUGGAUAGACUUCACAUGCAGUUUGCAAGAUGACGCCAAAGCAUGAAAAACAGGUAAGUGCUUCAAUUUGUGUGUGU